GUGCUCACUUUGGCCGCACAUAUGCUAAAACUGGAACAAUACAGAGAAGAUUGGCAUGGUCCCUGUGCAAGAAUACCAUGCAAAUUCAUGAAAUAUCCCAUUAGUUU
ensembl:snRNA U6 U6 spliceosomal RNA